rnacentral:rRNA from 1 species
GUAACAGGAAGCAGCUUGCUGCUUUGCUGACGAGUGGCGGACGGGUGAGUAAUGUCUGGGAAACUGCCUGAUGGAGGGGGAUAACUACUGGAAACGGUAGCUAAUACCGCAUAACGUCGCAAGACCAAAGAGGGGGACCUUCGGGCCUCUUGCCAUCGGAUGUGCCCAGAUGGGAUUAGCUUGUUGGUGGGGUAACGGCUCACCAAGGCGACGAUCCCUAGCUGGUCUGAGAGGAUGACCAGCCACACUGGAACUGAGACACGGUCCAGACUCCUACGGGAGGCAGCAGUGGGGAAUAUUGCACAAUGGGCGCAAGCCUGAUGCAGCCAUGCCGCGUGUAUGAAGAAGGCCUUCGGGUUGUAAAGUACUUUCAGCGGGGAGGAAGGGAGUAAAGUUAAUACCUUUGCUCAUUGACGUUACCCGCAGAAGAAGCACCGGCUAACUCCGUGCCAGCAGCCGCGGUAAUACGGAGGGUGCAAGCGUUAAUCGGAAUUACUGGGCGUAAAGCGCACGCAGGCGGUUUGUUAAGUCAGAUGUGAAAUCCCCGGGCUCAACCUGGGAACUGCAUCUGAUACUGGCAAGCUUGAGUCUCGUAGAGGGGGGUAGAAUUCCAGGUGUAGCGGUGAAAUGCGUAGAGAUCUGGAGGAAUACCGGUGGCGAAGGCGGCCCCCUGGACGAAGACUGACGCUCAGGUGCGAAAGCGUGGGGAGCAAACAGGAUUAGAUACCCUGGUAGUCCACGCCGUAAACGAUGUCGACUUGGAGGUUGUGCCCUUGAGGCGUGGCUUCCGGAGCUAACGCGUUAAGUCGACCGCCUGGGGAGUACGGCCGCAAGGUUAAAACUCAAAUGAAUUGACGGGGGCCCGCACAAGCGGUGGAGCAUGUGGUUUAAUUCGAUGCAACGCGAAGAACCUUACCUGGUCUUGACAUCCACAGAACUUUCCAGAGAUGGAUUGGUGCCUUCGGGAACUGUGAGACAGGUGCUGCAUGGCUGUCGUCAGCUCGUGUUGUGAAAUGUUGGGUUAAGUCCCGCAACGAGCGCAACCCUUAUCCUUUGUUGCCAGCGGUCCGGCCGGGAACUCAAAGGAGACUGCCAGUGAUAAACUGGAGGAAGGUGGGGAUGACGUCAAGUCAUCAUGGCCCUUACGACCAGGGCUACACACGUGCUACAAUGGCGCAUACAAAGAGAAGCGACCUCGCGAGAGCAAGCGGACCUCAUAAAGUGCGUCGUAGUCCGGAUUGGAGUCUGCAACUCGACUCCAUGAAGUCGGAAUCGCUAGUAAUCGUGGAUCAGAAUGCCACGGUGAAUACGUUCCCGGGCCUUGUACACACCGCCCGUCACACCAUGGGAGUGGGUUGCAAAAGAAGUAGGUAGCUUAACCUUCGGGAGGGCGCUUACCACUUUGUGAUUCAUGACUGGGGUGAAGUCGUAACAAGGUAACCGUAGGGGAACCUGCGGUUGGAUCACCUCCUUACCUUAAAGAAGC